UUGACCUCGGAUCAGGUAGGGAUACCCGCUGAACUUAAGCAUAUCAAUAAGCGGAGGAAAAGAAACCAACCGGGAUUGCCUCAGUAACGGCGAGUGAAGCGGCAAGAGCUCAAAUUUGAAAGCUGGCCCCUCCGGGGUCCGCAUUGUAAUU
rnacentral:rRNA from 1 species